UAAAGAACUUGGUAAUAAAAGUGGAAGAAUAUCAAGGGAGAAAAAGGAGGAUAAAUUUUAAAAAUGUAAAAAAUUCACUAGCAGGGGUAGGUGCUGAAAGAGCCAUUGGAUUUUAGCUCAGAGGGAUUAAUAUGUGUCAAACCUUAGCAUUAAGUGUCCUAAUAUAAGGGAUAGGCCAUUUGAAUUUGAAUCCUAACCAUGAAGCAUCCAUUCUCAGUUUCAACCAGAAGGAGGGGUUCUCUCGAGGAGAAUUUAUUCCAUGAGAUGGAGACCUGCCUCAAGAGAGAGGACCCACAUGGGACAAGAACCUCAGAUGACACCCCCAACCAUGGUUGUGAAGAUGCUAGCGACACAUCGCUGUUGGGAGUUCUUCCUGCCUCUGAAGCCACAAAAUGACUUUAGACUUCCAGGGCUCACCAGAUCAACCUCUAAAUAUCUUUGAAGGAGACAACAACUUUUAAAUGAAUAAAGAGGAAGUCAAGUUGCCCUAUGGAAAACUUGUCCAAAUAACAUUUCUUGAACAAUAGGAGAACAGCUAAAUUGAUAAAGACUGGUGAUAAUAAAAAUUGAAUUAUGUAUAUCACUGUUAAA
rnacentral:ncRNA from 2 species